rnacentral:rRNA from 1 species
GACGAACGCUGGCGGCGUGCUUAACAUAUGCAAGUCGAACGGAAAGGCCCUGCUUUUGUGGGGUGCUCGAGUGGCGAACGGGUGAGUAACAAGUGAGUAACCUGCCCUUGACUUUGGGAUAACUUCAGGAAACUGGGGCUAAUACCGGAUAGGAGCUCCUGCUGCAUGGUGGGGGUUGGAAAGUUUCGGCGGUUGGGGUUGGACUCGCGGCUUAUCAGCUUGUUGGUGGGGUAGUGGCUUACCAAGGCUUUGACGGGUUGCCGGCCUGAGAGGGUAACCUGCCACAUUGGGACUGAGAUCCGGCCCAGACUCCUACUGGAGGCAGCAGUGCAAAAUAUUGAACAAUGCGCGGAAGCCUGAUGCAGCAACGCCGCGUGCGGGAUGACGGCCUUCGGGUUGUAACCCGCUUUCGCCUGUGACGAAGCGUGAGUGACGGUAAUGUGUAAAGAAGCUCAGGCUAACUACGUG